rnacentral:misc_RNA from 1 species
GAUAUGCAUACGAUGAAAACAAUGUUCCAGCAAUUUAAUAUAUUAUAUUAUUACAUUAUAAUACUACACGCGAAGCCUACGAGAUUUCCACAGGUAAAAAUCACACAUCUAACCCACGUAAAAAUGGGCUCGCUCCAACAUCCUGCCACACAUCCCAAGGGAUCAAACAUCAAAGACAACUGGCAAAAAACAAUGCAGGGAACGAAAAAGAAUAUCAACCGUCAAGAGUCUGGACCGCAGUUUUCACUGAAUAAAUAAUACAAGAAAACUUAGCGAGCCCAUGAUACAGAAUCAAUCUCGUCCCUCGCGGACUUGUAUAAUUCAAGCCUUUUCGC